rnacentral:tRNA from 1 species
GGUUCAGGGUCUCGGUGCCGCACUUCCGUCAGAAUCACCCUGCUAAGGUGGAGUCCCCUCACGGGGACCAGGGGUUCAAAUCCCCUCGUCU